rnacentral:rRNA from 1 species
AACGAACGCUGGCGGCAUGCCUAACACAUGCAAGUCGAACGAGACCUUCGGGUCUAGUGGCGCACGGGUGCGUAACGCGUGGGAACCUGCCCUUAGGUUCGGAAUAACUCCCCGAAAGGGGUGCUAAUACCGGAGAAUGUCUUCGGACCAAAGAUUUAUCGCCUUUGGAUGGGCCCGCGUUGGAUUAGCUAGUUGGUAGGGUAAAAGCCUACCAAGGCGACGAUCCAUAGCUGGUCUGAGAGGAGGAUCAGCCACACUGGGACUGAGACACGGCCCAGACUCCUGCGGGAGGCAGGAGUGGGGAAUAUUGGACAGUGGGCGAAAGCCUGAACCAGCAAUGCCGCGUGAGUGAUGGAGGCCUUAGGGUUGUAAAGCUCUUUUACCCGGGAUGAUAAUGACAGUACCGGGAGAAUAAGCGCCGGCUAACUCCGUG